AUUGAACGCUGGCGGCAUGCCUAACACAUGCAAGUCGAACGGCAGCACGGCAGUAGCAAUACUGUGGGUGGCGAGUGGCGGACGGGUGAGGAAUACGUCGGAAUCUGCCCAGUCGUGGGGGAUAACUAGCCGAAAGGUUAGCUAAUACCGCAUACGACCGAGAGGUGAAAGCGGGGGACCGCAAGGCCUCGCGCGAUUGGAUGAGCCGACGUCGGAUUAGCUAGUUGGUGGGGUAAAGGCCCACCAAGGCGACGAUCCGUAGCUGGUCUGAGAGGAUGAUCAGCCACACUGGAACUGAGACACGGUCCAGACUCCUACGGGAGGCAGCAGUGGGGAAUAUUGGGCAAUGGGCGCAAGCCUGAUCCAGCAAUGCCGCGUGUGUGAAGAAGGCC
rnacentral:rRNA from 1 species